rnacentral:rRNA from 1 species
CGUGAAAUUGUUGAAAGGGAAACGCUUGAAGUCAGUCGCGCCGUUCAGGACUCAGCCUGGCUUUGCUUGGUGUGCUUCCUGUUUGGUGGGUCAGCAUCAAUUUUGGUCGGUGGAUAAAGGCUUAGAGAAUGUGGCAUCUUCGGGUGUGUUAUAGCUCUGGGUCGCAUUCAUCGGCUGGGAUUGAGGAACUCAGCACGCCGCAAGGCCGGGGACUUGUCCCACGUACGUGCUUAGGAUGCUGGCAUAAUGGCUUUAAUCGACCCGUCUUGAAACACGG